CUGCACAUGGUGAGCUAUGGACUGCGGACAGAUUCUCUUCAUCUUUCUUAUGUUCACUUUCACACAUAUGAUCAUGUCUUUAUCUCCUACCACUCUUUUCAUACUCUGGACAUUGCUGGUGCCCUCGAUAUAGAGGAGUUCAUUUCCUCUCAAUUCUUCUGUAAAGCCUCUCAGGCACAGCUUUGGUGCUCUCCUAGAGUUCACACCAUUAGCCCCACCAUGAAGGGCCAUACCUUGGGGGCCAGAAGUGGAUGCACAGUCCUGAGGACUGAGUCUUUUCAAGAGUUGCUAUCUGAAUUCUGUUCUCUCGCUACUAUGUAUAUAGAGAUCUCUUUGGCAUGGCAUGUCCCCAUGCUCUUUGGGAGGCUUCAGAGGUGCAGGUGUUGCCUAAACAAGUACAUACAUACAUACAUAUGUUGGAGUUUCGUUUGGAACUCAGCGCAAGUGGCC
rnacentral:sRNA from 1 species